rnacentral:rRNA from 1 species
UACGUAGGUGGCAAGCGUUGUCCGGAUUUACUGGGUGUAAAGGGCGUGUAGCCGGGCUGACAAGUCAGAUGUGAAAUCCGGGGGCUCAACCCCCGAACUGCAUUUGAAACUGUUGGUCUUGAGUAUCGGAGAGGCAGGCGGAAUUCCUAGUGUAGCGGUGAAAUGCGUAGAUAUUAGGAGGAACACCAGUGGCGAAGGCGGCCUGCUGGACGACAACUGACGGUGAGGCGCGAAAGCGUGGGUAGCUAACAGG